rnacentral:rRNA from 1 species
UACGGAGGGUGCAAGCGUUAUCCGGAUUCACUGGGCUUAAAGGGUGCGUAGGCGGGCAGGUAAGUCAGUGGUGAAAUCUCUGGGCUUAACUCAGAAACUGCCAUUGAUACUAUCUGUCUUGAAUACCGUGGAGGUCAGCGGAAUAUGUCAUGUAGCGGUGAAAUGCUUAGAUAUGACAUAGAACACCAAUUGCGAAGGCAGCUGGCUACACGAAUAUUGACGCUGAUGCACGAAAGCGUGGGGAUCAAACAGG